rnacentral:rRNA from 1 species
UACGUAGGUGGCAAGCGUUGUCCGGAUUUAUUGGGUUUAAAGGGUGCGUAGGCGGUCUAUUAAGUCAGUGGUGAAAUAUCCCGGCUUAACCGGGAGGGUGGCAUUGAUACUGAUGGACUUGAGUAAAGUUGAGGUUGGCGGAAUUGACGGUGUAGCGGUGAAAUGCUUAGAUAUCGUCAAGAACACCUAUUGCGAAGGCAGCUAACUAAGCUUAAACUGACGCUGAGGCACGAAAGUGUGGGGAUCAAACAGG